rnacentral:rRNA from 1 species
AUUGAACGCUGGCGGCAGGCCUAACACAUGCAAGUCGAACGGUACCAGGAAACAGCUUGCUGUUUCGCUGACGAGUGGCGGGCGGGUGGGUAAUGUCUGGGAAACUGCCUGAUGGAGGGGGAUAUCUACUGGAAACGGUAGCUAAUACCGCAUAUCGUCGCACGUCCAAAGAGGGGGCCCUUCGGGCCCUUUGUCAUCGGGUAUGCCCAGAUGGGAUUAGCUAGUAGGUGGGGUACCGGCUCACUUAGGCGACGAUCCCUAGCUGGUCUAAGAGGCAGACCAGCCAGACUGGAACUGAGAAACGGUCCAGACUCCGACGGGAGGCAGCGGUGGGGAAUAUUGCACAAUGGGCGCGAGCCGGAUGCAGCCAUGCCGCGUGUAUGAAGAAGGCGUUCGGGUUGUAAAGUACUUUCAGCGGGGAGGAAGGGAGUAAAGUUUAUACCUGUGCUCAUUGACGGUACCCGCAGAAGAAGCACCGGCUAACUCCGUG